rnacentral:tRNA from 3 species
CGGGGUGUAGUUCAGUCCGGCAGAAUGCCUGCUUUGGGAGCAGGAGGUCGUAGGUUCAAAUCCUGCCACCCCGA